UGAAAUUUUAAUUAUGAAAAUGUAUUACAGGAAAGAAUGAAAGAAAAAUGCCUCUAUGCCUACCCAGAUUUAGCCAAACUGCAAAGUUGAGAGCACUGUUCUCCAAACUGCCAAGCCUGCUCAAGACUUUUUACCCCAGUUGCAAGGAGUUAGGGGCCCACUACAAAGAAGAGUCCACACAAGACCAUUCUCACUUCUGACACCAAUUGCAGGUACCUGGCUAAAUUAUAAUUCCCAGCCUCCUUGAAGUUAGACAAAUGCUGGCCAGUAGAAUAUGGCUAAUUGUCAACAUCCUGGGCAACCUUGAAAGAUAAAUUUUGAAGAUGGUAAAGUUCCUAUCAGCCAGGAUUCCUGCGUGAUUGCAUGGAGAAGAUCCCCCAACUCUAUACAACCACCUAUUGAACUUUACAUGAGCAAGAAAUCAGAAUCAUUUGAAAACUGAAAGACCAACUCAGAAGUCCCAAGGAGGCCCAUCCACUUACUGGUGACAACUG